UUCGAUAUGAAUGCACAAACCUUCAGCUAUAUAAAAGGCAGAAGCUGAAAGCUCAAAGCAAGACAUCAGAGAAGACAAGAUGAGAGCUGCUUUGAUUCAGGACAAGACCUAGUAAAGUACCUGCUUGCUCAAGGGUACAGCAGCAAUCCCACUGGGACUGAAGCCACACAAGACCUCCGGUCAAGAGUCCAAAGUCCUUAACAACUACUUCACACUGCUACCGUUAACCAUGGAGCAAUAUAGAAUGACUUCACAAAUAGAACAAGCUGUGGCUUCAAUUCGCAGAUCGAUGUGUGCUGGCAUUGGGAUCAGCAAUAACAGCAAAUUCAUACUAAAAUCAC